UAAAACUUUCAACAACGGAUCUCUUGGCUCUCGCAUCGAUGAAGAACGCAGCGAAAUGCGAUAAGUAAUGUGAAUUGCAGAAUUCAGUGAAUCAUCGAAUCUUUGAACGCACCUUGCGCUCCUUGGUAUUCCGAGGAGCAUGCCUGUUUGAGUGUC
rnacentral:rRNA from 1 species